CGCGCCCCACAGUUUGAAAACCACUGAUGUAAACUAUGAUUUUUUUUUACGAUAUGCUGUGACUAAAUUCCUCCUAAAGGAAAGCAAAUCUGCUGCAAACAACUUUGAUCGCCCUAACCAUGUCAAUUACAGUUCCUACACGGAUGCCAGAAUAUGCGACAUUGCGUGAUACGCUUUAAAUAUAGCAAACUGGACAUCGCCAACCAUCGCCAAUGUACCUCACAGAAGUCGAUCAAGAACGAUCAAGAAACAUCACCACGGAAUGUAACGAGCGGAAGGUCGAUUUUCUGAUCGAUUUUGAUCACAGGUAAGAAGAAGUGUGGCGGUUAGAGCAGUUGUACUGUGGUUUGACACUUGGCACAAUGUUGUGCAGGAGAUGAUGUGAAGACUUUAGGAUAACGGAAAGUUUGUUGUCGUUGGGUUCCCCUGCUGCUGAUGGAAGAUCACCAAAGCCAUGUAUGGACAUGUCAACGCAGUUGCUUCCAUGGCAUGUUGCCGAGAACGAUGAUCUGGGAAAUUUUCAUGUUAAGGGGUUGGCUGGCCUGUCACUGUGACCUAAAUAUCCGGUGUAGAAAAUCAAGGUUGAGACAGCAUAGAAGAUCUCAUCGGACAGAAAAGCGGACAUUGAGUGGGAUGUGAACCAUUGAUCUCAAUGUUCCAUUUUCUCAGGACCAUGCACGCCGUAAA